rnacentral:lncRNA from 1 species
CGAUAUGAAGCCCAGUGUUACUGUACCAAGCAGUAAACAGCACCCAAAUUACCAUGUGGAGAUGACAUACCAUGUGUCACAUAUACAGCGUUUUACCCGUUUGCACAGCUCUCUGCGUGGGAGAAACAGACACCAGAAGCCGCACACACACAGAAGGGGGUCUGGAACAUUGUGUGUGUAGACACGCAGUUCAGGUGUUAAUGUGAACUGGUGCAUCUAAUUGCUUCAGCCUGAGCCCCCUGAGCCCUGGGAUGGGGAUUCAGGAAGGGGGGGAGGUGCUGGGCGAGCGGUGAGGACAGGAUGGGAAGAGGAGGUGCUGAGAAUGGUAAUACCAUCCCCGACUCACCCGCUCUCCCUCCCCCAGCUGCACUGCAGAAGUCGUAGCCGAGGCCUCCGCCAUGCUGUCACGUGAGCGGGACGGCGAUGACGUCACCGCUCCCCGGAUGAGCCGUCAGCCCGCUGCGGUUGCCAUAGCGACUGCGGCCAGUGGUGCGGAGACCGGGGAUGAGCCUUGCGGAGGGGGUGCGGCGACAAACUGUCAGCCCUCCAGCCUGGGCUGCCGGCGGUCCAGCCUGGAUGUGGCGUACGAGGCGGCCGAGUCGGUGAGAGUGCAGCGCGCCUGUCGCCUCCGCCCCCACUUCAGCGACCCGAUGCCCACCGACGGCGCCAAGCGCAAGCAGCUGGAGCUGAAGAUGGCAGCAGCGGCCGCCUUCCUCCAUCGGCAGCAGAGGACUGGGAGCGGCUCUGGCAAGAGCCGCUCGGAGACCACCGUGGGGGCCGAGGAUGUGGCUCUGGGCGUCGUGGCCAAGACGGGGCAGCACCGCUGGAGCAACGUGAGCAGCCUGAGUGCGGACAGCGGGGUGGUGGGGCUCAGCGACGAGCGCGAGGAGGACGAAGUGCACCGGCAGAACCACUCGGCAACUUCCGAGGUGGAACGUGUGGACAGCGGCAUUGGCUCUGGACUGGCCCGGCACUGGGGGCCACCGG